rnacentral:ncRNA from 1 species
ACCCCUGUGAGAAUGCCCUACCUACACCAACCACUGGAGAAAAGGAGCUGGUAUCAGGCACAAACAUUUGGCCCACGACACCUUGCUUAGCCACACCCCCACGGGUACUCAGCAGUAAUAAAUAUUAAGCUAUGAGUGAAAACUUGACUUAGUUACAUCAAGAGGGCCGGUUAAACUCGUGCCAGCCACCGCGGUUAUACGAGAGGCCCAAGUUGACAAGUGCCGGCGUAAAGAGUGGUUAAUAAGAUGCAAACUAAGGCCAAACACCUUCAAGACUGUUAUACGUACCCGAAGACAGGAAAACCCUCGACGAAAGUAGCCUUAACCAAAUAUGACCCCACGAAAGCUAGGACACAAACUGGGAUUAGAUACCCCGCUAUGCCUAGCCCUAAACAAAGAUGACCCCCUACCCGUCAUUCGCCAGGGAACAACGAGCCCCAGCUUAAAACCCAAAGGACUUGGCGGUGCUUUAGACCCCCCUAGAGGAGCCUGUUCUAGAACCGAUACCCCCCGUUCAACCUCACCCUUUCUUGUUUACCCCGCCUAUAUACCGCCGUCGUCAGCUUACCCCGUGAGGGGUUAAUAGUAAGCAAAAUUGGCAAAGCCCAAAACGUCAGGUCGAGGUGUAGCGAACGAAAGGGGAAGAAAUGGGCUACAUUUACUGACCCAGUAAACACGGACAUUGCAUUGAAACAUCCAACUAAAGGAGGAUUUAGCAGUAAGAGGGGAAUAGAGUGCCCCCCUGAAAACGGCCCUGAAGCGCGCACACACCGCCCGUCACUCUCCCCAAAAAACACUCACCAAUAAAUAAUAAAACUAUAAACACAAGGGGAGGCAAGUCGUAACAUGGUAAGUGUACCGGAAGGUGCACUUGGAAAAACC